rnacentral:sRNA from 1 species
UUUCGAGGUUCGUUCGAACAUCCCAUUUAGGCCAUUUAGGCUCACAUGUAACUCGUCAGCUACGACUUACCCUCCAGUCUUCUUCCCGCCACCACCGUCCUGGGAUAUGCCAUGAACCGGACUAGCGGGGAGUUUACCGUCAAGCUCAGUGGCGCGUGCAAAAUCAAGCUCCCGGCGGACAACUUCGUUGCCACCUACUCCGACACCCUCUCUUGGAAAAUCGUGUAGGGGUAAAUUGCGGAACUUGACGGAAUUAGGGUUCGCGCAUUCUUCAAGUGGUGGUCGAUCACCGGAAUCCGAUCCUCCGACGACGAUAUCGUCUUCGAGGUCGGCAUGGUGACGGCGAAAUAUCCAUUGAAGAAUUUUGAUGAUAGCCCCGCGUGCAGGGGCUAACACUCUUCUUGAGAAAAAUGUUAGUUUUUUUUUCGCCUCAGUUUCAUUGUGCUUAAUAUUUACUUUGAUUAUUAGUUGCACACAUAUUUAAUCGAGUUCUUCAGUUUAUUGUUGUUGUAAUAUAUAGUUUAUUGUUGUUGUAAUGUAUUGUGAAUUUGAAUAAAGUUUUGGAUGCGGAUAGAAUGACUGAGAAAGCUCCACUGUUAUAUGGUUCUUUCAUUUUUCAUGUCUUGAAAUAUUCCACGAUUGUCUUUUUAUGUUACAAAAGUAAAAUGUUGACACAUGGCCAUGAAAAAAAAAGUACUUUGUUGGUCUCUAUUAUAUAAUGAGUCUGAUUAGUUGCUUGUAGUGGAUGUGCUCAUUAGAAUUGCAAGCCUACAUUGCCCUUUUUUCUGGGUUUUACCGUAGUUUAUGGGAUAUAGAAUUUCAAAUGUCAUCAUUAAAGUUUUGGAGAAUAUUGGUACUGGGUUUUUGUUAAUAUGAUUAUAAGCAUAACAGUUAUUGUUAAUGAUUUUACUUGGUGUGUAAGAUUUGACUACUUUUUUAUAGACUGUGUCCUCCUACCAACCAUGUUUUAUCUUUUCUUCUACACGAAGAUCCAUGGUAAGGUUUUGCUAAGGCUGGCAAAAGCUAUUGUGGUCUAUUAAUUAUGCCUUCAUUUCUUUUGGAGAAGAAACUUAAAUUUGCAGCAAAUGUUUCUUCUGGAAUCAUUUUUGGAAGGGAGCUUGAGAAUUCUCCUGCCAAUGUGCUACACCAGGUUCAUAUUAAAUAAACUGCUUUCAGGUGGCACAAUAAAAUAAACUAGCCGAUUAGCAUCUCCAUCCAAACUAGCGCACCUACAAACUAGCACUAGCUCCAUUAGUAACGACCAUAAUAAAUAAGACCAACAUAGCAGCACCAAAAGAAUGCAUCUAUUAAAUGAAAUGCUAGAAAUUAAAGGUUAUUAUGUGAGAAUGGAUCAUGAUGUUAUUAUAUGCUAUGCUAGUAUGGUUUUACGGAGUUAUAUGGUAUAAUUGUGAUGUUCUAUGUUGAUUAGUGUAUAAUAGAAUUACUGACAAACUUUAAAUGUUAUGCUAAAAUAGUCAAAAUGAUCAUAUUGUUUAAAAUAUUAAUUGAUUUACAUAUUUGAGACAUAACAGAUUGUACAUAUUGAUGCAAACUUUUUAAUUUUUGCUGCAAUUUGGUAACAUCCAAAUAUAGGAACGUUACACGGUACGUUAACUAAUCAUUUUUAUUUGAUUACACAACGAUUUGUAUUAUUUAUGUAUAUGUUUAUUUGAAUAUGAUUUAUGAUAAGAGGCUUUUAACUGUAAUAUUUAACAAGAGUAAUGUUAUUGGAGGAACAAUUACAACUUUUGCGACAACAGAUGGUUUGUCAGACACAAAGAAAGAAAAUGUUCUUCGAAGUAGGGUAAUGAAGAAAUGUGGGAUGUUAUAGGCAAUGAUGAAAUCAUGAAGUAGGAGAACAUGAACAAGUUGAAUACACUAAAGAUGGGGAAGAAAUUGUAAUAGAAGGUCAACAUGACUUGAUUGAUAUACAUAUUGAACACAAUGUCCAUGAAAUAUGAUUUAUUAGGAUACAAUUUAUGUUAUUGGUUUUCAGGUUGUUUAGUUUGUGUAAUGAAGAAUAUGUUGUAUUGUUUAAUGUUUAUGAAUAUAAUGAUUCAAUAUAAAAUGUUUCAUGGUUUAAAAUAUAAGUUUGGUUAUAUAUAAAAGUUUGGAUGCCAACCAUAUAAUAGUCCUUACAUUUGCAAGAUAAGGUGAUAAUGAUUCAUGGUAAUGAAUUUCAUCUUGGUGAUAUUUGAC